AGUGAACGCUGGCGGUAGGCCUAACACAUGCAAGUCGAACGGCAGCACAGUAAGAGCUUGCUCUUACGGGUGGCGAGUGGCGGACGGGUGAGGAAUACAUCGGAAUCUACUUUUUCGUGGGGGAUAACGUAGGGAAACUUACGCUAAUACCGCAUACGACCUACGGGUGAAAGCAGGGGAUCUUCGGACCUUGCGCGAUUGAAUGAGCCGAUGUCGGAUUAGCUAGUUGGCGGGGUAAUGGCCCACCAAGGCGACGAUCCGUAGCUGGUCUGAGAGGAUGAUCAGCCACACUGGAACUGAGACACGGUCCAGACUCCUACGGGAGGCAGCAGUGGGGAAUAUUGGACAAUGGGCGCAAGCCUGAUCCAGCCAUACCGCGUGGGUGAAGAAGGCCUUCGGGUUGUAAAGCCCUUUUGUUGGGAAAGAAAAGCAGCAGGUUAAUACCCCGCUGUUCUGACGGUACCCAAAGAAUAAGCACCGGCUAACUUCGU
rnacentral:rRNA from 1 species